rnacentral:miRNA from 1 species
CAAGUUUGGUGUUUAUGACGUCGAUAUUCGACGUCAUAAACACCAUCAAGUUUGGUGUUUAUGACGUCGAAUAUCGACGUCAUAAACAGCA